UUCCUCAAUCGAGUGGCGAACGGGUGAGUAACGCGUGAGGAACCUGCCUCAAAGAGGGGGACAACAGUUGGAAACGACUGCUAAUACCGCAUAAGCCCACGGGUCGGCAUCGACCAGAGGGAAAAGGAGCAAUCCGCUUUGAGAUGGCCUCGCGUCCGAUUAGCUAGUUGGUGGGGUAACGGCCCACCAAGGCAACGAUCGGUAGCCGGACUGAGAGGUUGAACGGCCACAUUGGGACUGAGACACGGCCCAGACUCCUACGGGAGGCAGCAGUGGGGAAUAUUGCACAAUGGGGGAAACCCUGAUGCAGCGACGCCGCGUGGAGGAAGAAGGUCUUCGGAUUGUAAACUCCUGUUGUUGAGGAAGAUAAUGACGGUACUCAACAAGGAAGUGACGGCUAACUACGUGCCAGCAGCCGCGGUAAAACGUAGGUCACAAGCGUUGUCCGGAAUUACUGGGUGUAAAGGGAGCGCAGGCGGGAAGACAAGUUGGAAGCGAAAUCUAUGGGCUCAACCCAUAAACUGCUUUCAAAACU
rnacentral:rRNA from 1 species